rnacentral:rRNA from 1 species
GACGAACGCUGGCGGCAUGCCUAAUACAUGCAAGUCGAGCGAACAGAUGAAGUGCUUGCACUUCUGACGUUAGCGGCGAACGGGUGAGUAACACGUAAGGAAUCUACCUAUAAGCGGGGGAUAACAUUCGGAAACGGGUGCUAAUACCGCAUAAUAUCUUCUUCCGCAUGGAAGAAGAUUGAAAGACGGCUCUGCUGUCACUUAUAGAUGACCUUGCGGUGCAUUAGUUAGUUGGUGGGGUAACGGCCUACCAAGACGAUGAUGCAUAGCCGACCUGAGAGGGUGAUCGGCCACAUUGGGACUGAGACACGGCCCAAACUCCUACGGGAGGCAGCAGUAGGGAAUCUUCCGCAAUGGGCGAAAGCCUGACGGAGCAAUGCCGCGUGAGUGAAGAAGGCCUUCGGGUCGUAAAACUCUGUUAUAAGAGAAGAACAAAUUGUAGAGUAACUGCUACAGUCUUGACGGUAUCUUAUCAGAAAGCCACGGCUAACUACGUGCCAGCCGCCGCCGUAAC